rnacentral:rRNA from 1 species
CAGCCGCCGCGGUAAUACAGAGGGUGCAAGCGUUAAUCGGAAUUACUGGGCGUAAAGUGCGCGUAGGUGGUUUGUUAAGUUGGAUGUGAAAUCCCCGGGCUCAACCUGGGAACUGCAUCCAAAACUGGCAAGCUAGAGUAUGGUAGAGGGUGGUGGAAUUUCCUGUGUAGCGGUGAAAUGCGUAGAUAUAGGAAGGAACACCAGUGGCGAAGGCGACCACCUGGACUGAUACUGACACUGAGGUGCGAAAGCGUGGGGAGCAAACAGGAUUAGAGACCCCCGUAGUCCCUGUCUCUUAUAC